CUUCUCGGCUUCAGGGGCAUUUGCAGUUAAGCCACAGGAACAUCCCGAGGUUUAUAAAUACAGCUCUGGAAACUUGGUCAGCAGGAGGGGAUAAGAGCUUGUUGAUCACUUGCCCUACAAAAAGGCAUGUGUGCAGAGCAUCAGUGUGUCGAGAUGUUGAACUGUGUCCCUGAAAUAUUUGUACAUCGAAAUUGAACCUCAGGACAUCAGAAUGGGACUUCAUGUGGAACAGAACAAAUGCACCGUCAGAUCCAAGAGUGGAGCAAUUACUACUCACAGAUUCUUAUGAAAAAGCAACAAUGAAUAAAACUCCUCUAACCACCAGGACGGCUGCUACCCACUUCAUGGUUACAACCAAAGACAGGAUCAGAGUGAGGCGAUCACUGAGCAUGACAUCAGACGGAUGGAGACCCCGGGGAAGUUGGAAACCUCCUCCAGACCUCUGGCUCCUGACACUGAAGACUUCACCGCAGCCUCUCAUUGCCCGCAGACCUCUUUCUAAGGCUUCACUGGCAAGAAAAGCACAGUGGUGGCCAUGGAGGUG